UCAGGAAGCUUUGGAGAGGGUCGCUGCCCUCUGUCUUCAGGAAACAAGGAUCAUCAGACCCCCAUAACAACCAACAAUGCAGGCUGGUUAGUUGGAGCGCUCGUUUUCCCCCGAGUUCCCAGUUGUCUUGAGCGUGCUGAAGUCGGAGAUUUCUGAAUUCCCAGUUGUUUUACAUAAUCAGAGGGGAAGAGAGAUGGCCUACUCGGCGGAAAAUCCCUCCAGCAGAUGCACAAUUGAGAGCAUCCUGUCGGGCUGUAUCACCGCCUGGUACUGCAACUGCACCGCCCACAACCGCAAGGCUUUCUAGAGGGUGGCGCUGUCAGCACAACGCAUCACCGGGGACAAACUACCUGCCCUCCAAGACACCUACAGCACCUGAUGUCACAGGAAGGCCAAAAAGAUA